rnacentral:rRNA from 1 species
AUGCACGCUGGCGGCGUGCCUAACACCUGCAAGUCGAGCGGCAGCGAGGGGUGCUUGCACCCUGUCGGCGAGCGGCGGACGGCUGAGUAACGCGUGGGAACGUGCCCCAAAGUGAGGAAUAACUGCCCGAAAGGGUAGCUAAUACCGCAUAUUAUCUUCGGAUCAAAGGAUUUAUCCGCUUUGGGAGCGGCUCGCGUCGGAUUAGGUAGUUGGUGAGGUAAUGGCUCACCAAGCCGACGAUCCGUAGCUGGUCUGAGAGGAUGACCAGCCAGACUGGAACUGAGACACGGUCCAGACUCCUACGGGAGGCAGCAGUGAGGAAUCUUCCACAAUGGGCGAAAGCCUGAUGGAGCAACGCCGCGUGCAGGACGAAGGCCUUCGGGUUGUAAACUGCUUUUAUAAGUGAGGAAUAUGACGGUAACUUAUGAAUAAGGAUCGGCUAACUGCGUG